GAUGAACGCUAGCGGCAGGCUUAAUACAUGCAAGUCGAGGGGCAGCAGCUUUGUAGCAAUACAGAAGCUGGCGACCGGCAAACGGGUGCGGAACACGUACGCAACCUUCCUUUAACUGGAAGAUAGCCCACCGAAAGGUGGAUUAAUACUCCAUAACAUAUUGAAGAGGCAUCUUUUUGAUAUUAAAGCUCCGGCGGUUAAAGACGGGCGUGCGUCUGAUUAGGUAGUUGGCGGGGUAACGGCCCACCAAGCCUUCGAUCAGUAGCUGAUGUGAGAGCAUGAUCAGCCACACGGGCACUGAGACACGGGCCCGACUCCUACGGGAGGCAGCAGUAAGGAAUAUUGGUCAAUGGACGCAAGUCUGAACCAGCCAUGCCGCGUGGAGGAUGAAGGCCCUCUGGGUUGUAAACUUCUUUUCUUUGGGACGAAACCCCUGUUUCUACGGGGACUGACGGUACCAGAGGAAUAAGCACCGGCUAACUCCGUGCCAGCAGCCGCCGUAACAC
rnacentral:rRNA from 1 species